rnacentral:rRNA from 1 species
GCAGGCUUAACACAUGCAAGUCGAGGGGCAGCAUGGUCUUAGCUUGCUAAGGCCGAUGGCGACCGGCGCACGGGUGAGUAACACGUAUCCAACCUGCCGUCUACUCUUGGACAGCCUUCUGAAAGGAAGAUUAAUACAAGAUGGCAUCAUGAGUCCGCAUGUUCACAUGAUUAAAGGUAUUCCGGUAGACGAUGGGGAUGCGUUCCAUUGGAUAGUAGGCGGGGUAACGGCCCACCUAGUCUUCGAUGGAUAGGGGUUCUGAGAGGAAGGUCCCCCACAUUGGAACUGAGACACGGUCCAAACUCCUACGGGAGGCAGCAGUGAGGAAUAUUGGUCAAUGGGCGAGAGCCUGAACCAGCCAAGUAGCGUGAAGGAUGACUGCCCUAUGGGUUGUAAACUUCUUUUAUAAAGGAAUAAAGUCGGGUAUGGAUACCCGUUUGCAUGUACUUUAUGAAUAAGGAUCGGCUAACUCCGUGCCAGCAGCCGCGGUAAUACGGAGGAUCCGAGCGUUAUCCGGAUUUAUUGGGUUUAAAGGGAGCGUAGAUGGAUGUUUAAGUCAGUUGUGAAAGUUUGCGGCUCAACCGUAAAAUUGCAGUUGAUACUGGAUAUCUUGAGUGCAGUUGAGGCAGGCGGAAUUCGUGGUGUAGCGGUGAAAUGCUUAGAUAUCACGAAGAACUCCGAUUGCGAAGGCAGCCUGCUAAGCUGCAACUGACAUUGAGGCUCGAAAGUGUGGGUAUCAAACAGGAUUAGAUACCCUGGUAGUCCACACGGUAAACGAUGAAUACUCGCUGUUUGCGAUAUACAGCAAGCGGCCAAGCGAAAGCGUUAAGUAUUCCACCUGGGGAGUACGCCGGCAACGGUGAAACUCAAAGGAAUUGACGGGGGCCCGCACAAGCGGAGGAACAUGUGGUUUAAUUCGAUGAUACGCGAGGAACCUUACCCGGGCUUAAAUUGCAGAUGAAUUACGGUGAAAGCCGUAAGCCGCAAGGCAUCUGUGAAGGUGCUGCAUGGUUGUCGUCAGCUCGUGCCGUGAGGUGUCGGCUUAAGUGCCAUAACGAGCGCAACCCUUGUUGUCAGUUACUAACAGGUUCCGCUGAGGACUCUGACAAGACUGCCAUCGUAAGAUGUGAGGAAGGUGGGGAUGACGUCAAAUCAGCACGGCCCUUACGUCCGGGGCUACACACGUGUUACAAUGGGGGGUACAGAGGGCCGCUACCACGCGAGUGGAUGCCAAUCCCCAAAACCUCUCUCAGUUCGGACUGGAGUCUGCAACCCGACUCCACGAAGCUGGAUUCGCUAGUAAUCGCGCAUCAGCCACGGCGCGGUGAAUACGUUCCCGGGCCUUGUACACACCGCCCGUCAAGCCAUGGGAGCCGGGGGUACCUGAAGUGCGUAACCGCGAGGAGCGCCCUAGGGUAAAACUGGUGACUGG